GAUGAACGCUAGCGGCAGGCCUAAUACAUGCAAGUCGAACGGUGUCUUCGGACAUAGUGGCGCACGGGUGCGUAACACGUAUGCAACCUACCUUACAUUGGGGGAUAGCCUUUCGAAAGGGAGAUUAAUACCGCAUAAGACAGUAGCUGGGCAUCCAGCAGCUGUUAAAGAUUUAUCGAUGUAAGAUGGGCAUGCGUUCAAUUAGUUAGUUGGCGAGGUAAUGGCUCACCAAGACUUUGAUUGGUAGGGGAACUGAGAGGUCAAUCCCCCACACUGGCACUGAGAUACGGGCCAGACUCCUACGGGAGGCAGCAGUAGGGAAUAUUGGGCAAUGGACGCAAGUCUGACCCAGCCAUGCCGCGUGCAGGAUGAAGGCGUUAUGCGUUGUAAACUGCCUUUAUACAGGAAGAAACGACUCUUGCGAGAGGCAUUGACGGUACUGUAUGAAUAAGCACCGGCUAACUCCGUGCCAGCCGCCGCCGUAACAC
rnacentral:rRNA from 1 species